UGAUGAUAUGUUGGUCCUUUUGUCAAGCCU
rnacentral:piRNA from 1 species